UACGUAGGGCGCAAGCGUUAUCCGGAAUUAUUGGGCGUAAAGGGCUCGUAGGCGGUCUGUCGCGUCGAAAGUGAAAACCCAGGGCUUAACCCUGGGCCUGCUUCCGAUACGGGCAGACUAGAGGUAUGCAGGGGAGAACGGAAUUCCUGGUGUAGCGGUGAAAUGCGCAGAUAUCAGGAGGAACACCGGUGGCGAAGGCGGUUCUCUGGGAAUGUCCUGACGCUGAGGAGCGAAAGUGUGGGGAGCGAACAGG
rnacentral:rRNA from 1 species